UCAUGAACCCUAAAUAUACAAACAUAAAUGCUUUAGUAGGGCUUGUGCAUUAAAACUGCUUUACCAAGUAUUGCAUUUAUUUGGUUGUUGUAAUUUGGGCCCUUUCCGACUUUAAGUAUGCUUUAUAAAGCUCUUAAAAGUUGUGUCACUUUAAAACAAAAUCUGAUAGCACACUAUAGAGCAAACUUAAAGUAUUCAUAUAUAGCUUCGUGGUUACUUGGGUGGCUUCUCUUUCUUUAUAGAGAUAAUGUUCAAAAAGGAAUUCUGCAGGAAGAAUCAUGUCAACCUAGCAGGAUCGUCGAAUGUUACAGUUCUCAUCAUAAUAUACUCCCAGAAAAUUAGAAAGACUUAAAAACCUCUGAUGCAAAUACUCUGCAAUCAUCAUUUUAAGGAACCCGGAAAAAUCAAGGACGCUUACGUUCUUGUUUUAUUUUAUUAUACUAAUAUAAUAUAAUAAAGGGGCACAAUAUUUGAAUAUAUUUCACUGAACUUCGUCAUCAAUUUUAGAAACAAUUUAAAACAAAACAAACCAUUUGCAAUUACCUAUAUAUGAGUUAAAUAGUUUACCCAUUUAUGAGUAAAUAGUUCUCCUUUGACAACAGCGAAAAAAACAACCCA